rnacentral:lncRNA from 1 species
UCCCUUUCUCCUCUUCACUCGUCAAAAAUGUACGCACAAAAACCACUAAGCAAACCCUAUGCUUAUUCCAUCCCAAUUUCCUUUUCACUCUCUCACGAUUUCUAGCCCGAACCAGCUAUUUGAGGGUAAUUGAAAGUUGUUCUGGAUAAAUCCAAAGUUGUACGAAUGAAAAUGGUAUAUUUUCACUCCAUUUUGAUUUUCGAUCUUCCCUUUUCUUUUCGUACAAUUCUAGUUAUUAAUCUUAUCCUCUCAUUUUUGAAAUUUACACUAUACCACAGCAAAAAUCCUUGAAGGAUCUGGAGAUUUUAGGUCCUAUAUAUACCCUCUCCGCUCCACUGUUUAACUCACAAUUUUUUUAACCUCAGAAGGGCUGGAAUUCUCUUUACUCGACUAGGAUUUUGGGAUUCUGUUUCCAAUCUGAGAGUUGUGAGAAUUUUGGCUCAGUUUCCAAUCAUCAUUGCUAUUCUCGAGUCAAGAAGAGUGGUGGAAUUAUGAUAGUCAACUCGUCGUCCCAAGUUCGUUUCUUGAAAAGAGUUAAUAUCAUUUUCUUUUUGUGUUUCUACUAUAUAUGUGCUAGUUGUUUAAGUCUUUGUAAUCCGAAUAGCAUUUUCAAGUUGUUUAUCCUGUUUCAACUAUGAAAUUCCUCUUGGUGUGAUUUCUCGUUCUUUUGUCUUUUUUUUCCGUUUAACGUUGUUAAUUUAAUCAAGUAUAGAAAAUCAUGUAGUUAUGUAUUUUCCUGUCGAUUUCAAAAAUUAAUGUAGUCGUGUAGCUCCUGAUCUCAUCUACAAUUUAGUAAAUUAACUUCCCUUUCAUUGUUUACUUUAUGUGUCUAUCUCCUACUUUUAUUUUUAAUAUCUGUCCAGUUCUAUUCUUUCCAUAUUUUGGGGUGUAUUUGGAUCACUAUUCUAUGGUCUUUCAACUACUACAAAGAUGUGUUGAAAAAGGAUGGACUCCCAUAGAGUUCCGAAUAAAGAAAUCCCCUAAUGGUAAUCUUAAUCUUCUUGUCCUUGUCCUUUUUCAUAAGAACAAAUACAGAUCAUAUAUAUCCUUUUUUGUCCUUCUAUGCUUACGUAUAUUUGCAUUUGUUUGAUUCCAAAUGGAUGAAGGACUGGUUUUGGUUUAGAGCCUUAAAAGUUUGAACCUUAGGAAUUUUUUUACUUCAUUUUGGUUCUACUUCAAAUUUCAGCCCCCUCAUAAUGAGUAUUUAUGUGCAUUUUGAUAUUGUCCAGUGAUCCACAUGGAUGUGACAUAGUGUAUCCUCUCAAUCACUUAGUAGAGGACAAGAAUCACCGACUAUGCUAAAGAGGCAUAAAACCUACAAAAGAAGUACAUUUUGAGUGUUAAAUAUCAGAACUUGUGGGUAAAUUAAACUUGAUAAUGGCUAAAGUGUAAGUGUUGAAAUGCAUUUAUAUAUUGACUACAACUUGUCUUUAAAUAGAAAAUACGGUGCAUGUCCAAAGAACAAGUUCUUUUGAUAUUUGAAGCAUGUUUAUAUAUUCUUGAUUCCUUCCGUUUAACGUCAUCCCCUCUAUCUCCUUGUGGUUCCCACAAAAGUGUGAUUAUUCAAGUUUGUUUAGUUUGAUAUUUGGUGGUAACUUGUGCUAAUCCUUAUCUUUACUUUCUUAUACAUGAACUCUCCUAAACGAGUCCAAUUGACUCUCCAUUCCCUUGCAUUCACUCAUCUUCGAGUCAACCUCCAUCAAAACCUCAAAAUGAAAGAUGAUAUUUUGGAUUUGAAACUCAAAUAUUUUAAAGAACAGUAGCACAACGACAAUAGGCCAAGUUCAUAACAUCUAAUGGUAACAACAAUUCAAAGGGAUUAAGAUAGAAAUUUGGAUUUACAAUCCAAUGAUGAUCGCAACAGUGGGCGUCAAAGUUCGGAUAAAUUGCAACCACAUCAAAUUAUUAAGAGAAGACAAAAUUUGGGUUGAUGGCUCAAACAUUUAAUUUUGUCCUUAUUUAUUUUCAAGCAGUUUGCAUUAAUUGUUAUUAAUUCUUAACCUUGAUUUCCUUUUGUUAUGCCUAGAUGAAUCCGCAGUUUAUUUGUCAAAUUCUGUCAUAACGUGAAAUUAUUUACUUGGAUAAUCACCCCAUGAAUUUUUGGGCAAACUAAAGCUUGAAGACUAACUUGAGAAUUCUCCAUAUUCUUUUGAGGGUUAGUAGUUAACUCGAUAUUCACGUUAAAUAAGUUGGGUCGCUCAAAAGUCUUAAUUAAGAUAAAUUGUUAAAAUUAGAAUUAUUUUGAAAUUUUGUAUUUAGUUUAUUUUGAUUAUCUGAAAUUAAUUAAAUGGAAAAAUUCUAAUAAAUUCUAUUCAUUUAAAAUGAGAUUUUUCAAACAACCUUAAAGGAUUUUUUAAAAAUAAAUUAGCCAAUAAGUUUAAUCCACGGAUCGACCACGUAUUAGAGGAUCUUUUAAGCCGCCUAACACCUUAGAGGAUAACUUAAACCCUUAUUUAAAGCUCUGAUUUUUUUUCAAUUAAAGAUUAUUUUUAAAAUUACCUUUGUUUAAAAGGUUUUCUUGAUUUGCUAAGGAUUAAAUGGCGACUCAAAGUUAAUUUUUUAAAAAUAAAAUAAAACAGCUUUUUUCGCCAGAAAUUGUGAAAAGGUUUUGAAACUCUAGUCUUAAAAAUUGAUCAUAAUAGAAUGUUAGACUUUGGUAGGGAUUCAAUAGGUUUUAAUCAUAAGAAUUUUAUUUGUUUGGCUAAUCUGUUUUUUUUUUUUUUUAAUUUUUUUUGUAAUAGUUGUUAUUUUUAUGUUAAAAUUUUAAAUAUUACUAUUGUAUUGUCAUGGCAUAAGGUUCUUCCAAAUGUAAAACAUUAAAAUGAAUUAUAAAAAAGGCAAUUAUGCAUCUUUCGCAGUCGUUUUCUCACUUGAAAAAUUAAAAUUUCUUAAAACAAUAAAAAAUUAGCUGAUUUUGGGUCGUCAGACACUUCUUUAUUAUCUUAGUCAUGGUUAUUAGCAUGAGUUUCUGGUCUAUUUUUCAAACCCACUCUUAAUACUUAUGAUAUAAAGAAUUCAAAUCUCAUAAAAUAAGCAUAUUGACCUAAGUAACUCUUUACUAAAGAGAUACCAGACGCAUUAGAAAGACCACCUUGUAUCUACUAGUUAUGAGUCAAUAGACGAUUAUCCCUUGCAUGUUUGAUUGAAGAAUGUAAUGUUGAAUUGUAUGGUUCAUUGUCCCUCAGGGUUGGAAAUUUAUUAUAGAUAGUAUUAUUUUAAUAAGAGGAAGGUCUUCCAUUCGAAAGACGUUAGGGAUAUUCAAGAAUUGAGGAUCUCCAAGGUAGAUCAGUUUAGGUUGUUACUCUUCGUGGGAUCAAUAUUAUUUAUUUCCCCUUUUCCUCAUUUUGUACCUCAUAUUGAUUUAUUCACAAAAUUAUAAUAUGUUAUUUUGUGGUAAUGCAACAUCUUACAAACGACAUUUACAUCCUUCAGAUGUUAGGCCUACUAUUGGCUUAAAAUCUCACAUAUAUGUUAGGAUGUGUUAAGUCUUACUUAUGUGCUAAGUGUUACCUAAUUUGCUAAGUCUGUGCUUACUUGAUUUAUAUGGUUAAAUAUGUAUGUUUUGCUUUAAACACGUCUAGUUUAUUGUUUUAUUCAGAGGUCUUAGAGUGUUAUUAGGCAUAUAAACUCAAAAUCUAAGCCUUCCUAAACUACUCUUCAAAAUUCCUUGUCAAAAUACUUUCCACCCAAGUUCUAUUCAAAAUUAAUAGGUCAUCAUUCAACUAAUGUUGGUCCGAACAUUCGUAUAGUCAGAUCCACUAAAUAUUUCACUAAAAUUUUAGUAUUCUAUUCCUUUUAAAGAAUUUUUUGAUAAACAUAUUUCCUUAUCAAGAAUUCAGUUGGUAUUACUUUAGAAAGCAUAUGAAUAUUGUACCUUUCCUCAAAUCACAUAGUUCAUACCCUCCAAAAUACUAUUCCUCUAUCAAGCUUAAGAGUUGUCCAAUGGUCAAAAUUCAGGUCAUUCAAUCAUUUUUCAAAAACUGCCCAUUCCUAGAUUUUAGACUAACCUGUUUCGAGCAAAUAAAUGUUAUUUGUUACAUAUUACUUUGAUUAAUUAUUAUAAUCAAUGGACUAAAUUUUACACCUUUUGAUUUUUAUUUCUCCUUUAGAGAAAUACUAUUUUUCGCUGAUAAUUAAAUUUGCUCGCUUCAUAAAGACUAAAGAAAAUCAGUUUCGAGUAAUCGCUGGCAGAAUAUACGUAUUUCACAUGGUCUAAGGUUAAGAAAACAACUAUAGAAUCAUUAGUUUUCACUUGGGUUUUCAAAAAGACUCAUUCGAAUAUGGAUCCCAAUUUGAUCAACACAAUCACUUUAUCUAAAUCAAUUUCCACUUUGGCAGUCACAAUGGAUCCUAGCGCCUCUACAGAAAGAUAAGUGACCACAAAGAUCAUUGCUAGUAUGGAACAACAAAUUGUUGAACUAAGGCUCAUGGUAAUGCAGAGAAGAACAUCUUCUCCGAUUCCCUGAAACAUGACCUUGUCUCCUGAUGUUCGUCAAAAAGGGUCUAUUAUUUCCAACCUCAAAUGAGUUUGGUCAAGGAAAUUAUUUCACCACUCCUCAACAAGUUGAAAAGGUGCAUGCCCCUCGAAAUAUUCCUCUUAUGUACACAUUCUGCUCUGCCAUUGUGCACUCUCCUAUUACCCCACUAGCAACACAAACCUGAUGACUAUAUCUCGUAGAUAUUGAUCUCUAUAUUGGAACUGAAAAUGAUCUAAGGGUUAUUAAUUAAUGAAAUACUAAAUAGAAAGCUCAAUAACUUGGAAGAUACUAUGAGAAGUCUUCACGAGCUAGAUAAUAACCAAAGCCUAAAGUAUGAGGAAUUGUUUGCAUUUCCUGUGAUCAAGUUGCCAUUGGGAUACAAGAUUCCAAACUUUGAGAAGUUUGAUGGAUUUGGAAAUUCUUUCUUCCACUUUUAAACUUAUUGUGAAAAAUAGAUCGAUGUGGGUAAGAAUGAAAGAAUAAGGAUCGAACUAUUCAAUUAGAGAUCAAGUGGGAAAGCUUUAGAGUGGUACGCUAAGAAAGAUGUGACCAAAUGACACACUUGGGAUAACUUAGAAAAUACUUUGUGGAUCACAAUAAAUCUUAUGUUGAGAUUGCUCCUGAUAGAAUCUCUAUUACAAAGCUAAGGCAAAAAUUAAAUGAGUGUUUUUAUCAAUACACCAUACGAUAGAGAGAUGAAAUAACUAGUAUACAACCUCCCAUAGAGGAAGCUAAAAUGAUAACUUUCUUUUUUCAAACCUUAAACCCAAAAUGUUUUGAUCGAAUGGGCUAGAAAAACCUUUGCUGAAAUUUUCAAGACUAGAAAAAUAGUUGAAGAUGGUCUUAACACAAGGAGAGUAAUAAAUUUGAUAGAAUUACAAUUCACUCAUAAGUCCUUCUAAACUAACUCUUUUGGAAAUGGGAAGAGAAAGGACAAAGAAGUUAUGAGGGUGAUGACUCAAGAAAGUACAUCAUGACACAAACAAUCUCCACAACAUUAGUGCAAUGCUCAGUAUGUCCUAUAUCUGGUCUAUAACAUGCAGACAACAUACCAUGCUCAACUAACACCACAAAACUAUCAAAAUAAUGCACCUCAUGCCAACCAUAAAAAACCUCACAUGGUCUUCAUUGUAAUGACUUGAUUCUGUAAACUUUUUUUUGUGUGUUUUGACUAUUUUACCUAUCCUCGUAGUUGUUGUGUGUUAUUUUUGGGAGUGGGUAUGAUUGGCAUAGUUUUUUUAUGCGAUCCACAAUAAUUUGUACGAGUUUUUGGGUUUUUAGAGGUUAAAAGGGCUUAUAGUUAACUUCGAUCAAUAUUUGUUAUUUUGUUGUCAGAUGGAAUAAUAGAUUGCGCAAGAAGAUCCGAAAUAUUAAUUUUUAAUUAUUGAUGUAGCCUGGACUGGGGCCUUGUCGUAAUGGGCAUCCUAAGUCCACCUAGGAUCGGGGACCACCCCCUUAACCCAACCUAACCACCUUAUACAACCUUAAAUGAGGUAAAUUUCGAGCAUAUAACAAGAUUGCACAAUGCUCUCGUGAAGACUCUAGGAUAGGGUCACAACUAUGACCGACCCAACCAAGUCUGUCCAUACAAAACUAACUAUCCAAACCGUACCAAACUAAAGAGAAUAUUGAAACAUAAUAUGAAAUUCAAACCCAAAAUGUAUUACGAUGGAACAACCAAUAAUAUCAUCCAAGGGUGUAAGCCCAGCAUCCAUCUCGAUGCCAAGGUCAACACCAAUACUGAUCCCUCUUAUUCCAACACCCAGAAGUACUACAAAGCCUCUAUCAAUAAGAAUACAAAUAUCCAAUUGGGACAUGCCCCUAACCAUGGCCAAAACCAAUAUCCAAAAAAAUAAAAAGUCUAAGAAUGUCCAACAUAAAAUGAUGCCUUCUGAAAUGAUGGAAGCUCACUACUUAAGUUUAAUAAGCUAUCCCCAAAUCAAGUAUUAUAAAAAAGGAGUCAAACGUUCGAUUCCUACAUAGCGUGGGUAUACAACCUCCAGUAGACGGGUUAGUGGGUGAAAACUAGCAUGAAUCUUGGGAUAUGGAUAAAAUAAUGUCAUUUAUCUUGGGAUAAGUGCUGGGAUAAGGGACCGGGUUUAGCAUGCCAUUUAAAACCUUAACUUGGGUCAUGUAGCUUAGCCGUCCUACCACCCACGGGCCAUAUGAGUUCAACUCCUCCCGUUGAAAGGGUUUCGGUGUGUGUAGUCGCACGACCAGGAAAUAACCCUGGGAUGACUAGUACAUCCCUCCAAUAUAAACAUGACACUCGCACGUGGUCAUCAAAGACCCGUUAUAUCAACAAAUUUGAGUUUUCAAUUUUGAUCCCCCCGGGAUUGCUACCUUCCAUGACUUACUUACACUCUCGCCAUUAAUGCCCAAUCAAAACCAAGUCCAAACAAUCCAAUUAUCCAUUUAUUAACCAAGGAUAUUUGAUAAAUCAGUGGUAUCAUCAUACCAUCAUACUUGCAAGCAUUAUUCAUAGCCAAACCAUUUAGAUUAAGGGGACUCUUGAUGCCCUUUCCAUUUACCAUAUUAACUUUUUAGGAGACUACCAUGUUUUCUACAAGCAUUACCAAUUAUCCAUUAACCUUUGUAAAUCAUUGAGAAACAUUUAAGGUUUCAUAAAUAAGCCGAAAACAAGAAAGAGUUCCAUUAAUUUAAGUCAAUGCAAUGAACAUAUCUUUAUAAGCAUUUUAUCAAACACCUUGGGGGCUUAAUAUAACCAAAACCAAAUUUCAUUACCAUUAAACCAUUACCAUGUAAUUCCAUUAUCCAAAAGAAUCAUUAAUACAUAGAAAGCAUAAUUAAAAUCAUAAGAAAUCAUAACCAAGCCUUUAACAUCAAAACCCCCAAAUCAAUGAUUGAAAACCAAAACCAUGCAAGAGUAUAAACCAUGGAAUCAACUAUUUAACCAUGACUUUAACUAAAAUUAAAAGUAUGGAAGAGAAUUAUGCCUUAAACCAAGAAUAUUUAUGGAACAAAUUCACCAAGACAAGCCCCAAAGUAAGCCCUUAGCUAAAACCCUAGCUCUUUGCCCCAAAAGCUCUUGAGAGAAUUAUGAUAUGUUUUAGAAGAAAUUCUAAGUGAUUAAGAAUAAAAUAAUAGGGUAAAUAACCUCCUAAGUGUAUUAAAAUUUGUGGGUCCUUAUCAGGGUAAAUAACCCCCACUUAAAUCCCAUAAAAAUUUGACACAGGGUCACGACUGACCUUCUUAUGAGUCAUAACCUAGCUUAUGGUUGAUACCACCCAAUUGUAACCAAUCCUUAACCAUGGAUCAGACACUGUCUAGUAUACAACUCAUCCAACUAAGUCACAACCUCAACAUACAAUCCGUACCCAUGAUUUGUAUUCCUGGCAGAAUGCAACACCAGGAGGAUUAAAUAUUGAUUACCUUAGGAGUUACAUGUAUGACUCAUACCCACGUCUUAUGAUUUAUACCCUCAAGUCAUAUCCAUUUCAGUUUCCAAGACCAUCGCACUGACUAACACUGGUUAGUCUACAAUAGGUCUUCAUCACUCGUACCCUAGCUUACAACUCGUACCAUGAGUCAUAAUAGGUCUGAAGAAUGAGAUUCUUAGUAAUUUUCUAAGAGUCCGAACUUGGGAUGCUUCAAUUGUUAGUGUGGUUGGUUCAAUUUUAUGUCUUUUGGAUCUCAUUUUGACCUUUGGUUUAGAAAUUUGUAAAAUUGGAUCUUGAGGGUCAAUUUUGUGAAAACCACCUUAUUUUUGAAUAUUUGAUGUCACAAUUGAGUCUGAAACAUUGAAUUUAGUCUAGUAGCAUAUUUUGUUUGCUUUCAUGUCAUUUCAAAUGAAUCUCCAGGGGUCGAUUGGCAACUUUGCAACUUACCAAGUUAUUGAUACAACUAAAAAUUUGUUGUAACCGAUUUAGUGGCCAUACACUGCUUUAGCGGAGGGUCUACUAGCAGUCAACUAUCGCUAAAGUAGACAUUGAUCGCUUUAAUAGCUGUUGCUUUAGUGGUAGGGGACCUCUUUAGCGGCUUAUAAUUUUUGGGCUGGAACGCCUGAGCGGUCAACCAAUGCUUAUGCGAUAACUAUUUAAGUGGUCAUUUAAUCACCUUUACGGUCAUAGUUGGACAUGUAUAAAAACCCUUUUUCUCAAUUUUUAUUUCAUUUUUGAGACUUUGAGCUUUAGGUUAAGAAUUUUUGGAUGUCUUAUUCCAUUUUUGAGCUUGGGUAAGCUCUAAAUCACCGUUUCAAAUACUUUACUUUGCUUAUUGUCAUUUAAAACCCUUCUAAAUCAUGAUUCUGGAUUAGAAUUUGGAAAUUUUGACCUAAAAGGCCUAAAAAAGGAAUUUUCUUUGAUUUAAACCCUAUUUUAAAUCCAUUUUCACUUGAUUUCUCCUAUUUCUUCCUUUAAUUAUGGGUAAGGUAUUUAUAAACAAAAAUUUCUACUUUACUCUUUCAUUUAAAAAAUCUAUUUCGGGGAUCCAUUUUGACCCUGACUUGAAAAUGGGUAAUAUGGGUAUCGUUGACUUCCUUUUAAUGUGUAGAUUAUCUAUUUGAAUGUUUUAUUUGAUUUAUAGGCCAUUCGAGAGGAGAAAGAUCCAUAUUGAAGGGCUUUAGCUUGGUUUUUGACGUUACGAGGUAGGUUAUGUCUUAACUUUCUUCAGAUUAGGCUGGGUAGUUUAUAUUUAUAUAAAAGAAUGCUACGAGUAUAGGUAAUAAUCAUGGCAAUAAUAUUAUUUCCAUUUUGUGCUUGUGUGGGGGCUUAUAUUAUUAUUGUUGGUCAUUUGAGAUGAUAAUUGCUAUGUGUUGCCUGUCUGAGGGCUUUAUCGGAUAUUAUUUUUUAUAUGUUGUAAUGAUCUGAAUCUGGUACCCAAAAUGCCCCACGGUGCUCAUGACCCCAAAGGACCACAAGAUGAACCAUGACUGAUAUCUGUAACUGAGCACUGCAUAAUAUAAUGUAUAAAUAUAGUAUAAAAGGCUGAAAGGGCAUAAGGUUAAAAAAUUUGAUAAAACAUAAAAUUUGGAGAUAUGGUACAUCACUACCAAAACAACUGAAAUAACUGUCUAAACAUGCUAUAGUAUGAAUAAGCCUCUAAUUAUCUGAAUAAGGAGUUGAUGGGACAUGUCCCCAACUAACUCCAACUGCUAAAAUAAACUAAGUACUGAAAUACUGAAAUGAUAAAGCAUCCUUGAAUGAUGAGGACUCACUGCUAAUCUAUUGCUGCUGAUUGAAACCUUAGCUACUAAGUGCGAUCAGGAACCUGAGCGUCCGAACCUAUGGUAUAAAACACCAUAGCACAAAAGAAAAGUAUACGUCAGUACAUGAGAAUGUACUGGUACGCAAGUGAGGUAGGCUGAAUGCAUGGGGUUCAUAUUCAUGAGCUAUAACUGACUGAUAACAUGAACAUGAACAUAACUGCGUGAGGAUACAUGUAUGAAAACAUAACUGCAACUGAAACAUGGGGAUUCUGAACACUGAAAAUACUGAUAACAUGGAUUACUGAUAGCUGAUAUAACUGAUACUGGGUGACUAUUGCUGAUAGUAUUAAUUCUGAUAGAACUAGCUGAGUUCCAUACUGAGUUGAGUGGCUGUAUCUGGCAGUCCUAAAAUCUGUAGAACUAUUUGAGUUCUAUUACUGAGACUAAGACUGUGGGAGGUAGUCAUCUAACCGAUAUGCCCCUAAUAAGUUGUUAUAGCUGCGUUGGGGUCCUAUCUGUAACCCUAAUUAGAAUGGUAUCAAUACCGCACCACUGGUAAAGACAAGCUGUGAGUGACCCUCAUCUGGUAGUGUCUCCAAAGGAGAAUGGUGGGACCCUCAUCCGACAGUGUUAAUCCACCUCAUCAACCCUUAACUGUUAGUGUUGAUGUCUCAACCUAUGCUGGCUACAUAGUUCUGGAAUGCAAGGAUUGCUUGUAAGGGGUCACACCCUCUACUGUCAGUGUGUGCCCUCAUCCUUGGGUUUGUUCGGUGCUAAAUCCUACUCCCAAUUGAAUAGACACUGAACUGAUUAUACUAAUAUGAACUGGACUGAGUUCACUGCGUUUCAUGGACUGAUGGAAUAUUACUGAAUUCUGUUAACUGACUGAGUUCAUGAGAUUGCUGAGUUUUCCUGAUUCAUAUAGCUGACUGAAUUCUACUGAUCAUGGCGUGACUGAGAUUAUCAUAAAACUGACACUGACUCUAGGCACACAACUAAAUUAUCGCGUAUAAAUAUCCAGGACUCGAUAGCAUAAUAGUAAAUCAUGGCAUAAGUUCAAAAGCACAACAAUGGCUAUAUAGAUAUAUCUAUAAUUCAUUGACUAAGACAUUUCAUCAAACACUUGACAUGCAUUAACUUGUACAUGAAUGGGGAUUUCAUAUUAACAUACUAUAGUGGCACUUUUUCCUUCACCUAGGCAUUUUAUCAAACACAUGGGGAGUAUACUUUGGUUAUACCAUCAUUAAUUCACCUAAUUAUCAUGGUUGCAUAAAUAAAUUAGCAAAUUUGAAGGGUUUAUCAUUAAUAUUAUGCAAAAAAUCACAUACUAGGAAUAAUCAUUAGAACAUGGAAUUUAAAACAUGAAUCAAAACCCAACAACAACAUGAACAUGAAUCUCAAUUCAACUAAAUCAUGAACAUUCAUAAUUACAAAAUCCUUGAAUUUAGAAAAGUGAUUCUUGAGCUUCAUGGGUGAAAGGGGACCCAUGAAUCAAUACUUGACAUACCUGGAAAUCUAAGUUCUUGAGGUUCUUGAAGAAAUUCUUGGAAUUGGCCUUGAUUUCUUGAUCUAUGGAUUUUCCUCUUGAGAGAGACGGAUUUUGUUCUUAAGAGAAAGUGAGGAAAAAUGAUAUAAUGGGGUUUUUAGGGCAUAAUUUUUUGGUUAAAGACUGAUCUGGGUCAUGAAAAAAGACCCAAUUUACCUUAGAAAGUUUUUAUUUUUCAUCACUGAAAACCCGAUUUGGGCACCUGGCGCGGCGCAGUGCUAUCGAGCCGUGUCUCUGGAAAAUGACUACUAAGAAAUUGCAUCAUGGCGUGACGCGGUUAAAUUAUGUUGCAAUACUGGAUGGGAUCUGGAAGCUCACUACGACGUGGUGGUAUUGCGUUGAGACACUGGAAAGGGACAAUUUUGAAUUUGAGCCUUGGCGUGAUGCUCCAUAAUCGCGGAGGCUUACUGGAUUUUACAAUUGCUACUUUGGCAUGCUCUGCGUCGCGUUGAUGGCUCAGGUGGCACACUGUCUUACUAAAAUGGCUCUAAGACUUUGGCUGAGUAUCGGAUUUAGUCAAAUUUGGUAUCGAUGGAAAGCUUAUUCAAUUUUCCACAUAGCUAAAAGUCAAAAUCUUGAAAAUUACACAUGUAUAAAAGUGGAUUCUUCUUUUAAAGUAAGCCUUUUGCAUUUUUGGGAUGAUUUUAAGCUAGGUAAAAGUACGGGGUAUUACACAUACACACAUAUAUAUAAAUAUGAAUUGGUUGCUUACUUCAUGGUAGAAUUAUCCUAGUUGGGAUUAAUAUGAUAUUAGUGAUUCCUUAUGUGCAUAAUUUUCCUGUGGUACAUUGCUUAUAUGUAAUCAUAGAUAGUUGAUAUAUUGAGUAGUUUAUGAGCUCACCAAUGCAUGUAUUGAAUGGAUUCAAGAUCUCUAUAUCAGUUUAGUUGUGAUCAUUACAUCCUCAUAUCACACAUACAUUCAUGAGACAUUGGUACCAUUGAGUAAUCAUUGAUUUUUGAUAGAAAUAAGGCACUUUUACAAAAUCGUCUGCCGUAGCCCAUGAGCUGGAGAGGAGAUAUGAAUUUUGAGAUUAUGAUUGAGUAUUGAGAAAGUAUAUGGGUUGCAAACCACCCAUGGUUCCUACCUGAAAGUGUUGAUGCUCUGUAGGUGUAUACGGAUGUCAUGCUGUAACCUCGAUCAUCGCACAUUAUCAUUAUUGCAUUUCAUCCAUUUAUGCAUCUUCAGUGUUGUGCUUUUGUGUUUCAUCUGAUGCAUAUCUAUUAUAUUUCUUUUGUUCCUGCUUUCUUGUUUAUGUGCUAUAUUUAGAACUAUUAGUGAAGAUGAUGUGAGAUAUCGUUUGGGUAUUUUUUUAUUGGAGGUGACAUGCUUAUAGUAUGUAUUUAUGUACCUUAUUUUUCUACUUUACUCAGUCAACCUAUAAUACCACUGAGUACAAGUGGAAUGUACACUACCCUACUAUGUCCUUUCAAUGCAGAUCUAGGUACGAGUGCAUUAUGCGACAACUAUAUCGUGCAUUACUUAUUGAUAUUUCAAGGAAGUGGCCGCACGCUCUAUGCUUUUAGAGUCCACCUCUACCCUCCUCCUAUCUUUUUGAUGUCUUUAUUUUAUAUUCAGAGACAAAUUUGUAGUUUUUCAAACUCAAUUAUAUUUUUCAAUUCUGAGUUGUAGUUAGAUUGUUCUUACACCGUUACACCAGGUUUUGUGAUGGUUUAUCGUAUCUUUAUUGUUCAAACUUAUGCUAUUAUUGUACAUAUAUGGUUGGACUUUGCUCUAGAAGUCUCAUAUUGGAAAUUGUGUUAUAUUUCUUCUUAUAUAUCAGUUGAUUGAAUGACUUACUUGUGACACACCCCAAAAUUGGGCCUUGUCGAAUGCGCACCUCAAGCCCACAUGAACAGGACGUUGCCCUGAUAACCCAACCCAAUCAUUAUCACAUCCAUCACUAGGGUCGAGUGAAUCCUGACCAUAUAAUUAGAUAGAGGAAGCAAUACUAGAAGUCAUAACUUAAACAUAUCUAAACACUUCAUUAGGUUCAUCACUCUAACCAAUAUACCCAUGUCCUCAAUCAUCCACAAAAUCUCUACAAAUCCAAUGUCUAAAACAUGUCAGGACAUGCCCCCGACAAUAGGUAACAUUAAGCCAAAAUAAAUCAAGUCUAUGACUUAAAGUAAAAUACUAUGAAAUGUAUGACUUACGGAGAUUGGAAGCUCUCCACUUCAAUGUCAACAUACGACAUGCCUAAACACUUGGUCACUGCGUAGAAAAAAGAAGAAGAAGCUGAGGAACCUAUAUCUUAUGGGGACAUAGCAUUCGGAGAUGGUUAGCGGUUGAAGCGCUAGCAUGAAUCUUGAGGAUAAGGAUGAAGUAGCACAUUAGGUCAAUUUAAGUGAAAUCAUCAUAUAAAAUCACAUUUACAUUAACAAAGGCAUAUAUGAAGAGACAUAUGCAUAUGUUUAUAUAUAUAGCAUACCGAGUCAUUGAAAGAGUCAUAGAAAUCAUUCUUAAAGCAUUCAUUCUUGAAACAUAGAGUGAAGAACUUUCAGCCUUUCACUUUACCAAUUUGAGAACCUUAAACUUCUCCGUUACAUUAGUCAAGGGGAUCCAAUCCUCAAACCAACUCAAAAAAUUCAACCAAAUUCAUUAGGAAAGGGACUCUAACCACAAGCCAUUUCAUUGGGUGAGGGACUCCAACCACAAGUGUAAGACCCCACAAAAGCCUAGCUUAACUCAGUCCUUUAGAGCAUGAAAAGAGGUACCAGACUUAGAAAUUUGAGCCAAGUGUUUGUACUUAAAAUCAUUUUUAGCCUUCAUAAUUUGGCAAUAUUAUUUUGCGACUCUUAUGACAUUAAAAUAUUGAUCCUUGGAUUGAAUCAUGAUCAGGUGUGUCCAUAGGUCACUUCGGGUGAGUUUCAAAUUUUUUGGACCUCGUUUAAAACGUGUUUGAGUGACCAAAAUAGUGGGUUGACGCGUCGCGUCAUCCAUCUCAUUGAUGAAUAUUUUUCCUAACGUCAGAGUGCAAAUUCCAAUGAUCCAAUGAAAACUUGACAUGAUGCGUUGGUCAUCGCAUAGAUACCAUCGAUGCGGUGCGUCGGUCUGUGCAUCAUUAGGCAUGUUUUAAGUAAUUAAAAAUUCCACGUUCAGAGGGGUAUUUGAGUUAUUUUCCCACCUUAUAUCAACCCCAAAAAUAUGAGAUUAAGCCUUUAUAAAGGCUAAAUCACUCAUUCUCUCUCAAAUUUUCUCAAGAACAAACCCUAGGGCAUCCAAUUUCAAAUUCAAACUUAAAGAACACACCAAUAAUCUUCACAAAAUUGAUUACCAAGGUAUGUUAGGUGUUCAUCCAAGGGUUUUAUUCCACCCUUGGAGUUCAAGAACCUCUUUUAAAACUACAAGUUGAUUGAUUUCAUGAAUUUUAUGUUGAAUUUGACUGUAUUCAUAAUUAUGAUGUUAUUUGGAUUUUCUAAUCCAUGAUUUAUUACAAGUUUCACGUGAAGUAAUUAGUAUGUGUGUAGUGAUAUAUCGAUUUAUGUUAAAAGCCCCUUGAAUUUUUGAGUUGGGAUUUGUGAUCAUGAUGCUUGCAUGUUAAUUAUUAUUAUGUGCAUAAAUCAUGCACCCAAGUAUUUGAUAAAAUGUUCAUGUGAGUUGAAGGGUGAAAUCAUGACAUAAUUAGUAUGUAAACAAGUUCAUGUAUCUCAAGUGUUUGACAAUAUGCCUAGGUGACUGUAUUGUUAACAAGUAUUUAUUAUUAUGUAUUUCAAGAUCAUGCCAUGCUUUACUUUCCAUGCUUUCGAGUCCUGGGUGUAUGCAAUACCCAAAAAUCUAGCUGUUUACCUAGAGCUACAGUAGUUAUAGAAUAGCCUUAGUAAUGUCUCGAAUAAUAGUACCCAGUUAAUUGCAGAACUCAGUGAAACUCAGUAUUAGUCUAAUUUAGAUCAGUAUCAUGAACAGUGUAUUCAGUCAGUUAAUAGAACUCAGUGAACUCAGUCCAGUUCAGUCAGUUAACCCGAUCAGUAACAGUCCAAUCAAGCCUAGUACAGUCUAGAAAUCAGUUCAGCGUCUAUUCAGUUGGGAGUACAAAUUAGCACCGAGUGAACCCAAGGAUGGGAGCACACCUGCCAGUAGAGGGUUUGAUCUUUAAUAGCAGUCCUUGUAUUCUAGAACUACAUAGCCAGCGUAGGUUGAGAUAUCAACCUGCUAUUUGAGGAUUGAUAAGGUUUUUAACCUGCCAGUUGAGGGUACCACCAUUCUUAUUUAGGGCAACUUCCAGAUGAGGGUAACUCUUCAGCUUAUCUUUACCCGUGGCACGGUCUGACACCCUUCAACGGGGUUACAGGUUGGACCCCAUUCCAUUCUUAGAGGGGCAUGUCAAUUAGAUGAUUACCUCAUACAGUUUCAGUUUUAGACUCAAUAUAUAACUUAGUUAAGUUUUAUAGAAUCGGGAUUGUUAGACAUAAUCACCCAGCUCAGUAUAGAACUAAGUUCAGCUUUACAGAAUCAGGACUGUCAGAAAUAGUCACCCAAUUUUUAGUAAUACUGUUAUCAGUAAUCUCAGAUAUCAGUAACUCAGUUAUCAAAACUCAGACUUAGUUUUAGUAAUAAUAUCAGAUACACUAUAUAUGUAUAUGUGCAACAUUACAUACUCAGUAUUUACAGUAGUUUCAGUAUUCCAUGUGCUCUCAUUCAGUUACUUCAUAUCAUUCAGCCAGUUACUGUUCAUGUAUAUGAACCUUUGCAUUUAACCUUACCUCACCUAGUAUACCAGUACAUUCCAUAUACUAAUGCAUACUUUCUCUUUGCGCUAUGUAUCACAUAUCAUAGGUCUGGAUGCUCAGGUUCCCAAUUGUGCUUAGAUAGAUUUGGAUAGCAGCAGUAGUUUUAGUAGUGAGUCCUCAUAUAUCGAGGAUAUGCUUUUAUUUUAGUAUUUUCAGUAGCUUCAGUAUUUCAGUAGUCGUAGUUAGUUGGGGGCUUGUCCCAUCAACUCCACAUUCAGACGGUUUAGUUAGAGGCUUUUUAAACUAGACUAGUUUAGACAGUAUUUAAUUUUAGAUAUUAUUAUUAUAUAUUAUACUUAAUAGUAUUCAUAUUAUGAACCUUAGGGAAUUUUAGCCUAGCAUUCACAUUAUUUCAGUAUUAUUAUUCAGUGCUCACAGCAGGUGCCAGUCAUGGGUUAGCUUAUGGUCUUUUGGGGUCGUAAGCAUCAUCUGGCGCCUAGGGUACAGACUCGAGGCAUUAUAACAAGCCAUCUUAUUAGGCGAAGGACUUAAACCAUAAGCCAUCUUAUUGGAUGAGGGAUUUCAACCUCAAGCCAUCUCAUUGGGCGAGGGACUUCAACCACAAGCCAUUUGAUUGGGCAAGGGACUUCAACUAUAAGACAUUUCAUUAGGAGAUGGACUUCAACCACAAGAUAUCUCAUUAGACAAGGGACUUCAACCAUAAGAUAUCUCAUUAGGCGAGGAACUUCAACCACAAGCCAUUUCAUUACCAUUAUUAGUCGACAUUUGGACUCUCAAUCCCUUUUAGUCCAUGCAUUAACAUUCAUACAAUGCACUUCAAUAUUUAAUAACUUGAACCAUUUACACACAUCAACACCAUACGGGAUCAUAAGGUCUUAAUGGAAGUAUUUAUUGAUUAACCACUUUAUUAGGCCAAUGCCUUCACUCAAAUUAUCAUUGAAUUCAAAUUAUAAUAAUCAAGACCCUUACGAGCCAUUCAAUCUUCAUUAGCCUUUCUAUACCACACUUUAGUUCUACACAUAAUUUAAGUUCGUGUUUAGGGAAAUGAACCCCUUUCUUAGACAUCAACCGACAUGGUAAUAAUUUAAAUAAUUAAAUGGAUAACAAUACCAUUACAAUACCAUUUCUCAACCAUUCAUACUUAUUGGUCCAUCACACCAUCUAAAGUCAUAAAUUAAUCUAUUACAUGAUUAAUAAGGUUCUUACCAAUCAUUUACCAAGCAUUCAUAUUCAUUACGAGUUAAUAGAUGGAUAACAAUGCCUUUACCAACCAUAUAUAAAGUGUUCACAUUCAUUAUGGUCAUGUCAUAUCCCAUUCAUGUUCACUAGACCAAUACCAUAGUUCAAUACACCAUUAACAUGUGACAAGAUACUUCAUUUAGAUAUUCACCUUGUGUGCAUACCUUUAUCAAGGACAAUUCAUGGUAGAAUUCAUUAAUAUUAGGGUUAAUAAAGACCCACAUAUUAUAACACAUAAAACAAGCACCCAUAUUUGCAAAUCAUCAUUAAUAACAUGUAUAAACACAAGUCUAAGCUAAAGUCAACAUUAUCCAUUAUUAGGCAACAAAACCCUUUUUAUUUGAUUUCAAAAUCACCUUGUACACUUACUAAUUCAAGUGUAAAAUAUAUAGGUUUGGAGUUAUUUAAUAAGGGAUAGAGAGACAUGCCUUAAACAAGAUGAUCUACCAAGAAAAACUUGACUCCUCUCUCCCCUCAGAUGAAUUCACUUGAAACCCUAGCCUCCAAAUCUUCCAAAGUGUUUGAGAGAGUAUUUUGGAUGUUUGAUCCACUCAAAAUAUGUUUUAGAAGGCCAUAUACACUUAUAUAGUGAGGGGACUUAGGGUUUUGGAAAUAUAAAAUAACCACAAGGACCUUAGUUAAGAGAUGGAAAAGGACCCAUCCUAGGGUACGACUCACUAAGAAACCGCACCCUGGGGUAUGCGUGGUACCCUAAAUCAUACCAUAGUCUUCUCCUAGGCCACCUAUACUAUUAAGGGUACAACCACAUACCCUUGAGUUGUAUCUAAAGGGUAUGCAUCAACCCUAACUUGUAAGCUUCAACAUAUUAAAAAUAGUCUACUCAAAGUUUAAGUCCAAACUCCAUAUGAAUCACUUGGUAUGACUCAUACCUUAAGGUACAAUUUAGGAGGGUAUCACUCAUACCUAGGAUAGUGAGAAUCCCUCACCAUAAUAUCUAGGUCAUAAGAGAGGAGGCAAAGGAGGAUACAACUCUUAUCCAAGAGGUAUGACUUAUGCCCCUAGUCGUAACCAACUUAGAGACACCCAAUGAAGAAGUUCUUCUCAUGGUUCAAAACCUAGGUGUUUUAACUUGUUAAGUCUUAGCCGCUAUAAAUUCCAUCACUACCUUAGUUUUUGGGUCAUGACAUUCAUACAACUAGAAAAAUCACUUAAUCAAUGCUAUGAGAGGUUUAAUUUAGUAGGACUACCUUAUUCAGAGGAAACGAAGCCUGUGAAUACUUCAACCAAUUACUAUGAUCCAAACAAGUGAUGCACUUAGCACUCUGAAGUUGUUGGACAUGAUAUUGAGAAGUGUAUCACUCUCAAGCAUAAAAUUUAUGACUAAAUUGACAAAAAAGUGAUAACACUUGUAGAUGCUCAAGUAAAAUUGAACAAUAAUUCAUUGCCCAAUCACUAGAAUGUAACGAUCCAUUCUAAUAUUGCUAAAAAUAUCUGUGCUAAAAGCAUAAUAACCUCUUUCACCAUAAGUUAUAAGACUAAUUAUUUAGUAUGAGAGUGCACUGAACAUGCACUAAGGUCAUACAAUACCCUAAGCACAAAUUUAAGUUGGAUAUGUUUUACCAAUUGAGUUUUAUACUAAUUUUAAACUAGGGUCAUGUUUAAACAAGCAUAUAUCCUAGAAUAUAAAGGAUUAUACAUCUUGAUAGCCACCAAAUGGAAGAUCUUUGAAUCCCUUUUCCAUAUGCAUGUGAUUGUUUGUCAAUCUGUCUUUCGAAUAAAAAAUUAUGGCUAUUUUACUAAACAUUAUCUGGGCUGAGAAAUUAAUCGCCGCAGCGAAACCACUGCUAUAGUAAUUUUACCUUUACAGUGGUAAUUGGGUAGCUCUUAAGUUAAUUGUGGAUAGAUUUUUGGGUUUUAACUCAAAAACUUUAUCCCAAAGCCUUAAAGGGCAAUUUUCUAACUUCUUGGGUGCAAAUUCUCAUUGAGGUAUGUUCUUUCACCAUCUUCAUCACAUUUCACUCCUUUAGUAUCCUAGAAUCAUCUGAACAAUCUUUAAUAGUGAUAUUCUUUGGGAUUUAAAUCCUAAGUUCAUGAUAUUUUGGGGGAAAUAUUUGGAUUGAGGUAAUAUCACGUAGAAUUACUUAUAGAUUUUUAAUUAAUAUAUAGAUUAUUGAUUAAUGAUUUCUAGUAUGAACUUGUGAUUCUAAAAUAGGAAAUUUGAUUAUUCAGAAUCUUGAAUUAUUUAAAAAUUGAACCUUUAUCCUUGAAACUUUAUUAAUAGUGAUGGAUUGAGUAUGAUAGAGCUAGUUAAAAGGCAAUUGAUCCUUGAGGUAAUGUUUUAAACCAUGAAUAAGGAUAGAAUUAGUGGGUUGAAUUUCUAAAGUAUUUAUAUGAAGAGUAAUUGAUUAAUUACUUUUAUAAUUAUUUUAUUUCUAGAUUAUUAGGCUAAUAAAGGCAUGACAAAAAGAGAAAAAAACCCUAGUAUGCCUUAUCUGUUCUAAGAUCUUCAAUCAAGGUAGGUUAUGAUUUAUGUAUGUAGAAUUUGAUUAGUGGUAUAUAAUAACUGUAGUUAGCGGGAGAUUUCAUAUCUAGGCCUGUGAAUAUGGAGUUUGGAAGGAUAAACCAUGGAAUCAUGUAAUAAUAAUAUAAUGCAUGUUAUGUAUUUGGUUGGCUUACUUGAUGAUGUAUAGAGUUUAGUAUGUUAAUGUGAAUAAUAAUUGAAGAAUUAGGGGACCUUCUAAUCUAUAGAGCUAGUAUUUGCUUCCUUAAAAUGAGUGAACCUGAUAGUGUGUAUUUUUGAAGUAUGAGAUAUUCUUGCAAUAAGAGACUUUGGAGAAUAAUUGUGAUAAGAGAAUGUGAUGAUAUAAAUUAAGAACCUAAAGUCAAGUUUGGCUAAGUGCUAGAAAAGUAAAAUGUGUAAAAGUGGAUGACUCUAGAAAUUAUAAUCUAAAUUGAGCCAAGUGGUUGAAUAACCCACUAAAGCAAAUAUUUUCUUGAACUCAGUGAUGACUUUAGUGUAAGGGUUACUAGUUAGUAACUAAAUUUAUCUUAGAUUUAGAUCCGUGAAUUUUGAAAGUUUAUGAGCUAAAAGUUAAGUAAAAUAAUGCAGAAAAGUAAGGACUUUGGACAAUCAAUGGAUGAAAACCCAGGUCUAAAACACUACGUACAAUCAUACUAUGCUAAAAAACUUUAUCGGUUAGACUACUUAUCUUGGUUGUUGAUUCUUAGAGUUUAUCACAAGAUCAUGGUCUCCCGACUUCUUAUCAUCUACCUAACUUCGACACUAAAACUACAUCAUUGAGCCGUGAUGUAAUAAUCCAAUUAGAAGCAAGAAUCUAUCAUUCUACAUGUUAACCAAGAAUCACUUCUAGGUAUAUCCCUAUCCUAGAUACUAAUUUAAAUCCCAUAUUUUAUAAAGGAAUAAGAACCCUACUCUAUUUACCCCCAUAUUCUAUCUUCCUCUUCCCCAACCCGAGAUCACAAGGUUGAAAAAAUAUGUAUUCUAAGAUUCGUGAAUCCUUAAAAUAAUGAUAACAAGAUAAACAAACAACCAAUUAUGAUAAAUAAAUAAAACCAAAUCAAUUCAUAGAAAUCGUAAUCAUGUUCGUGGGUUUAACCCCAAAAAGGAAGCGUUUAGCCACUACUCGACAUAAUCAUAAUCUAAUUAAUUGAAUCUAUGAUCAUGACCUUCAAUAAACUAAAGUUUAAAUAUUAUAAAACCUAAAAAGAGAGUGCAACCACCUAAAUAUUAUAAAACCUUAAAAAAGAGUGCAGCUGCCUCCUCUCCAAGUCCAAUAUGCUCAAAAUUAUGUAACAUAGCAUGUACGAGUCUGUAAUACCCCGUACUUUUCCUAGCUUGAAAAGUUUCCCAAGAAUGUUAGAAGAUUUUUUUAAAAGAUGAUUCCACUUUUUUAUACAUGGUAUUUUCAAGAUUUUCACUUUUUAUCAUGUGGGAAAUCAAAUAAGAUUUCCAUCGAUACCAAAUUCACCCAAAACUGACACCUGAGUGAAGAGUUAGAACCUUUUUAGCGAGACAGUGUAUCAACUGAGCCUUAAGCGUGUCGCGGAGAUAGCUCAAAUGGAAAUUGUCAAUUUCUAGUGUUUCUCCAUGAUAGUGGCAGGUGGAGCUAAGCUUUCAGGUCGUAGACAAGGUGGCAACGUGAUAGCCCCACAUCGCGCCACCGGGCAAUUUCCCAUUUGUCACUUUCCUGUGACUUUGCGCGAUAGUGGUGCAUCGCACCAAGGAUGAAAAUCAAGAAAUUUUAUUAGAAAUUAAAUAUGUGUCCUAGGGUUAAAAAGGUCAAUUUCCCACCCUAUAUAAGCCUUAUAACACGAGAUUUGGACAUAAUUCAACAACUUAUACUCAAUUACACUUAAAAACUCUCAAGAAAAAGCCCUAGGAUUUUCAUAGAAGGUUCAAUUCCAAGGGAAUUCACCAUCAAAUUUCAAGAAUCUCUCCAUUAAUAUUCGUGGAAUCAUAAGCUAAGGUAUGCGUAGUGUUCAUUCAUGGACUCCUUUCGUCCAUGAAGCCCAAGAAUCUCUUUUCUAAGUUUAUAUCUAUGGUUUUCUUUAUGAAUUUUAUGUUGGGUUUUUUUGUUUAUGUUGAGAAUGAUCAAUUGAAUUCAAAUUCAUGUUGGGUGAUCAAUUUCAUGUGGAAUUGAUUUGUAUAGAUGUAUAUUCAUGUGAACCUAUGAAUAAACCCUAGGAUGAUGAAAUUAGAGAUAAAUCAUGAUGAUUAAUUAUUGUAUAAUGUUGUCUACAUGUGCUAUGCCUACUAUAUGUUUGAUUAAAUGCCUAGAUGAAGGAAAAAUGCCCAACUAGUAAGAUAUCAUGAAAUUCCCAUGUAUGUACAAGCUUAUGCAUAUCACAUGUUUGGUAAAGUGCUUCAAUAUAUGAAUUAUGAAUUAUGUUAUUGGUCAUGUGUUCAAGUAAUCCAUGCUAUGUCAGUUUCUUCUCAUUGAGUCCUGGGGGUACUUGUACCCAAAUAUUUAGCUGUGUGCCAAGAGACAUGUCAUGUUUUCAAGAUUUCCUAAGUUAAGCUAUGAUCAAUAGAACUCAGUCAGUCAUGUGACUCAAGAAAUCUCAGAAAUCUCAGUAGUUCAGUAAUCUCAGUGAUCUCAGUACUUAGUAAUCUCAGUAACCUCAGUAUUCCCAGUCAAUCUCAGUAACUUCAGUAUUCUCAGUCAGUCCUCAGAACUCAGUACAUUCCAUCAGUCAAUGAAACUUAGUAAAUUCAGUUUAGCUCUGUUAAACAAUACCACUAGUAUCAUUUCAGUUUAGCUAAUCAGUUCAGUUCAGUUAAUUAGUUCAGCUCAAUUAAUCAGUUUAGUGUCUUUCAAAUGGGAGUAGGAUUUAGCGCCGAGCGAGCCUAGGGAUGAGAACUCACCUACUAGAUAGGACUGAGAUCCCUAAAAGAAAUCCCUAAGUUCCAGAACUACGUAGCCAGCAUAGGUAUGCGAUCUCACCCGUUAGAUAGGGCUUACAUACUCAAGGAUCACCCAUUAUCAUAUUUAAAUGUAUAGGACUAAUCCCAGGGGUCACCCACUAGAUUAAGACUGACUCCACAACAGUUUUCUUUACCAGUGAUGUAGUACUGACACCCUUCCAGCUGGGGUUACAGGUUGGACCCUAGCUACCUUAGUAUGGGGCAUGUUGGUUAGAUGAAUACUUCCCAUAGUUACAGUUUUCAGUCUCAGUCUCAGCCUUAGUAAACAUACUUAGAUAGUUCUUUAGAUUUUAGGACUGUCAGAUACAGUCAACUCAGAUAUAGAACGAAAAUUAGAUAGUUCCAACAAAUUUAGGACUGUCAGAUACAGUCAUUCAUGCUAUUAGUUAUAUUAGUUAUCAGAACUCAUGUCAUCGAUAUUCAGUUUCAAGACUGUCAGAUACAGUCAACCAGAUAGUUCUUCAUAAUCAGAACUGUCAAAUAUAGUUAUCCAUUUAUCAGUAAUAUAGUGUCAGUCCCUCGAUAUAGAGUAAUACAGUAUCAGUUUCUCACUCAUUAGUGACUCAGAUAUCAAUAUCAGUAGACGCAAUAGUCAAAACUCAGUAUCCAGUCCUAUCAUGAGCUUAGUUAGAGUUACGUGUGCAUGUAUGUAUUUUCACGUUCUUGUUAGUCAGUCAGUUAGUAUUGUUCAUUCAUAUGAACCUAUUGCAUUCGGCCUACCUCACUUGCAUACCUGUACAUUCAAAGUACUGACGUAUUUGUGCUAUAGUGUCUUAUACCAUAGGUUUAGAAGCAUGAAUUCCAGAGAACCAGUAGCAUCCCAGUUCAGCGAUCAGAGUUAGCAGUGAGUCCUCAUCCUUCAAGGACAUAAUGAUCACAUUUCUAUUUUGGUUUUCAGUUUAUUUUAGUAGUUGGAGUUUGUUGGCGAUAUACCCCAUCAACUCCUUAUUCAGACAGUUUAGUGGCUUUCAGACUAUAGUAUGUUUAGAUAAUUUUCUCAGUUAUUUUUGUUUUUUUAUACUAUAUUUUUUAGUUAUGUAUUAGUAUUGAACCUUAUGGCCUUUCAGUUAAUGUUUCUGCAUUUACGAUAUUAUUACUAUUAUUCAGUGAUCAAUUUACAAAUAUCAGUUAUGGGUUAGCUUGUGGUCCUUCGGGGUCAUGGGCACCGUGUAGGAUUCUGGGUGCCAGAUUUGGGGCGUUACAAAGUCCUAUUUAUAGUGGACAACUUUUGCCUUGUAUAAAAUGGACCUCAUGUCGCGUUGGGAAGCAACUAGGGAGUAAAUUCCAUGACACAAGAUGUGGAAAAGAGGAGUGUAGAUCACGACACGAGCUAUUGAAAGGAGGUUUGGUGGUCGAGGCAUGAGAUCAAUGCGAGGCCUUACUGUAAUUUGCUUUCCACGGGUAUUCUUUACUUUAUGCCUUUUCUUUUUAAUUCCAUGCCUUAUGGUAUUGUUUCUACUUUAUUUCCAUCUUGUAUAUCAUCAAUAUAUCCUCAAAAUCAACUCACCAAGAAUUCUACAUGAUCAAAAACCAUGCAUUAGAGUUCAAAACAACAAAACAUCAAGAAUCAUGAACUAGAAACACGCACUAAGACUAGGCUCUCCCACGUUGAUCUUUAGCUUAUUGUUUCAACUCUUGUCCUAAUCUAAUUGAAAUUUUUCACAUUAUAAACAAGUUUUUCCACAAAUAUAUACGCAAUUAAACCAUUUUAAACUCAUUAAACCCGUUAGAAUCCAACGUGAUAGACUUGAACAACACCUAGCUCAAGCUAGUAACACUAGUUUUCUUAUUUGAACUCUAAGUGAUCAAUUUAAAUCCAAACUUGUUUGAGAAUACCUUGACCAUUGUAAACCCACACCUAAACACUUAGAUUUUAAUUUAUAUCAUCAUUCACUACUAAGCAAAUGAAUUUCCCUAAAAAAGGCUAAAUAAGCUAAGAUACUAACACUAAAGUGCAUAAAUACACUCAACAUCAAUUAUCAUUUAGUUUGGCUAUUAUAUUUGAUACUAAUUCAUUUCAUAAAUGGAAAAAUGGUUUUGAAAACAUUGUGGGGUACAAUGGAAUCCCCCAAGUUGAUUUUUAAUAAUGUAGUCUGGGGUACAAGGAUUUCCCAAGGUAAUGGCUUAAUGACAUUUGCUUGUAAUCAAUAGUCCAUAGAACGAUACCACUUAGUGAUGCCUUGAUGUUUAAACCAUUAAUAUAAUGUUUAGGUAAUAUGUUAAAGGUUUUAAUUAGGCUUAAAAGUGGUUGUGUAGCUAGCCGUGAAAGGUGAAGAUUCCGAGGGGACCCACACUAGAAACUCAUAUUUCUCAAUGUGAGGGUUGGUCUUGAUGACCAUGUGCUUAUGUAACACUAUAUAUAUAUAUAUUUGAAUCACGGAUGGUUUAGGGUAAGUAUUCCCUGACUAAUUAUCAUACCUUCUAUUCGUGCAGCUAACACACAUUAGGGCCUUUUCAACAAGGGGAGCUAAACCCAUAUAGACCGUGGGUGUAGAUUUAGGAUGGAUAAUUUACACAGUCUAGGUUAAGGUUUUUAAAGAUCAUUCUAAGACUUAUUCCCUUUUGUGGCUUGUGAUAUAUAUAUAUAUAUCUAUAUAUAUGCAUUGCUCAUGAUAUUAUGCACUAGUUUAAAUGGUUUUUGUAUUAUAGUUCAUGGAAUUAUUUUAUCCUUUAUACCUUAUGUUUCAUGCUAGUGCUCUAUCUGCUAACCGUCUUUAGAUGUUGUAUCCCCACACAAUGUAGGAACAUGCCAUACUUUUUUUCCUCAUGCACAGUGACUAAGUUAUCAUGGGAUAGCUCAUGGUAAGAUUGAAGUGGUGAGCAUCCAUCCUUUGGAAGACCUCAUUUUUUGUUUGGGUUUCCUUAUGUAUGGACUCUCUAUUUUAGAUUCAUGUUUGGAUAUGGUCCUUUUGGUUUUUUAGAGGAUUUGUUGGACAAUACUAUGGAUGUUGGUAUUAUGGUUGGUUAUUGAUAAUGGUUAUUGGUUGGUGGAUGUCGGAUAUUGAUAUAUCAUAGAUUCAUUAAGUUUUCUUAUCAUAUCUUGCUUUAUAUUAAAUUCAUCCACUGCUAGGUGUUCUUGGUUUUGUUGGGUUAGACUAAGUGGGUGGUCUCUGGUCUUCGUUAGACUUGAGAUGCCCAUCAUAGCCAUGCCCUGGCUUAGGUUAUGACAAAGUUGGUAUCAGAGACUAGGUUCAUGGUUGAUUGGGUGUCCACCAAGCCAUUUCAAGUAGGUUCUUUUUUAUGGGUGUGUAGCAUGCCACACUUAUAUAAGAGAGGCAACAAGGCAUUUAGGAAUGUUUCUAUUUCUUUUUUUCUUAUUUUUGGGCUAUAGAGCUUAAGGUCUUAGAUUCCUCUAACUCCCGCUUAUUUUUCUUUGAGAUCAUGCCUCCUAGACUAUCAAAAGCUCAUGUAAACUCAUCUAUCUUGCCUGAGGACAAUGUGGGUGGAUCUCAUCUAACUUUUAGGGUACAAACCCAGUCAAGGAUUACUUCUUCUGAUUUGCCCCAUUGAGUUUGACUUGUCUCCACUGAUCCUUCUCCAGUCGGUGAUACUCGUACUCAAUCACCUCAGGGAGAUAUUACUAAUAAUAAGUUUUGCUAGUCUAUUUAUCUAUUAACGCAGUAUAUGACAUCUCAGUCACGUCAAAUGUGUUCUGCUGGUAUUAUUGUGAGUUCAUCUAAGGCCACUAGAGUUGUCUAGUUAUGAGGUUGAUCCCUCUAUCUUUCGCUGGUACUAAGGUUGAGGAGGAUCCUUAAGUAUUUAUACACGAGAUAGAGAAAAUCUCCAAAGUUAUGCAUACCACAGAUAUAGAGGGUGUGAAUUUUGCUACUCAUCAGUUGAAGGAUGUAUCGUACCAAUGAUAAAAGAGUAGUAGAAACUUAGGGGUGAUGAUGCUAAGUAUACUUUGUGGGAAGAUUUGUCUAGUGUGUUUCUUAAUCACUUCUUUCCUCAGGAGUUGAGGGAGGAAAAAGCUAAGAAGUUUGUGAACUUUAAGCAAGGCAGGAUGAUGCUAAAGGAAUAUUCCUUUAUGUUCCAUUAGUUUUCACAAUAUGAUCCUGAGCUAGUGUCUAGCAUAAGGAAUAGAAUGUGGAAAUUUGCUUCUGAUAUGUCUCAUGAAUUGAUUUUGGAGAGCAAGGCUGCCUUGUUGAACCAGGAUAUAGAUAUCUCUUAAUUGGUAGUGUAUAUUCAAUAGAUUGAAGAGGAAAAAAAGAAGAAAACAGAGGUGGGGGCGAGGCAGAACAAGAUGUUUUAGCAUUUGGAUCAGGAUGGAGGUCAGUAACAGAGUGGUAGAGAUAGUGGGAAAUGGUCUAAAAAGAAGUAGGGCAACUCUGGAUCCUAUUUACUGGCUAGUGCACCUUAUCUAAAGCCAUUUGGAGAUCAUCGUUUAUAGAGUGGUGAUAGUUCUAGGGCGCAGGAUGCCCAAUCUCAGGUCAGUAGGUCCCAUUAAUCUCCAUCAUAUCCUCUUUCCAGACUUUGUGGUAGGUUGUAUUAUGGUUUCUAUGAUGAGGGAAGGAAUCGAUGUUUCAAGUGUAGCCAGCCGGGACAUGUGCUGAAGGAUUUCCCUAUGGGGAAGGUUGCUACGGAGGUUAAUAAGAUUUUGGUUGCUACCUCAUCAGCUGCUGGCCCAAGAGGUGCCACUUUUAGUAUCGACAUUGGUCGUAAUUGCCUAUAGGAUCUUGCUACCUAUCAAGAGUUUGAGGCAUCUCUUGAUGACGUCACUGGUAUGUUAAAGCUCUUGUCCUAUGAUGUGUACUAUUUACUUGAUCUAGGGUCUACGUUUUUAUUUGUGACCCCAUUUAUGGCUGUGCAUUUUGAUUUUGGUCUCUAGUGUAUUUCAAACCCCUUUUUUAUUUUUAUCAUAGUGGGUGAGUCGAAGGUUGUUAAGAGGGUCUACAAGGGUUGAGUGGUAUCUGUUGAUGGUAGGUAAACUUUAGUGGAUUUGAUUAAAUUAGACGUGCUAGAUUUUGAUGUUCUCUUGGGAAUGGAUUGGUUGUAUUCGUACUAUGCCUCUUUAGACUAUUAGACCGAUAGGGUUGUCUUAAAAUUCCCUAAUGAAUUAGUUAAUGAGUGGGAAAGGACUCCCUAGUGCCUAAGGGAAGGUUUAUAUCAUAUCAUAGAGCCCAAAAAUUUAUUUCUGAGGGGUGUCCUUAUCAUUUGGUCUAAGUUAAAGAUUCUAUCUCGAAAGGUCCUUCUCUACAAUAAAUUCCCAUGGUUAGUAAAUUUCCCAAGGUUUUCCUUGAUGAUCUUAUGGAUGUCUCUCCCAAUAGGGAAAUUGAGUUUGGGAACGAUCUUCUUCCGAAAACUUGUCCUAGAUCUAUUUUUCCUUAUCGAAUGGCUCCAGCUGAGUUGAAAAAACUUAAGGGGCAAUUGAAAGAUCUUCUUGACAAGGGUUUUAUCUUUCCUUGUGUAUCUUUGUGGGGUGCUCCCAUUCUUCAUGCGUAAGAAGGAUGGUUCUCUUUAGAUGUGUAUUGAUUACCUCCAAUUAAAUAAGUCAAUGGUGAAGAAUAAGUACCCUCUUCCUAGGAUUGAUGACCUAUUUGACCAACUUCAGGGUGCUAAGUAUUUCUUGAAGAUUGACGUUCGAUCGGAUUAUCAUCAGUUAAAGAUUAGGGAGGAAGUUAUCCCUUAGAUUGCUUUCCAUACCUGGUAUGGAUAUUUUGGGUUCUUAGUCUUGUCUUUUGGGUUGACCAAUGCCUCAGCAACAUUUAUAGAUCUCAUGAAUUGGGUAUUCCAUCAGUUUUAGACUUAUUUGUGAUUGUGUUUAUUGAUGAUAUUUUGGUAUAUUUGAAGAGCGACAUGGAUAUUGACAAUCACCUCUGUAUUGUGUUGUAGGCCCUAAAAGAUCAGCAUUUGUAUGCUAAGUUUUCAAAGUGUGAAUUUUGGUUGAAUGCUCUUACUUUUCUGGGUAAUUUUGGUUUUAGUGAAAGGUUCACGGUGGAUCCACAACAAGUUCUGGUGGUUAAGAAGUGGACUAGACCUAUGACUCCAACUAAUAUUCGGAGCUUCUUUGAUUUAGCUAGUUAUUAUAAGAGGUAGUGGAGAGCUUUUCAUAAAUUGUCACACCUUUGACCAAGUUGACUAAAAAAAGGUGAAGUUCUUGUGGUCUGAUGCUUGUGAGGGGAAUUUUGAGAUGCUAAAAGAUAAAUUGAAUUCUGCUCCAAUUUUUACCCUGCCCAAGGGUAUUAAUUGCUUCGUGAUUUAUUGUGAUAUGUCCUUUUUAGAUCUUGGUUGUGUGUUAAUAUGACAUGGCAAGGUGGUUGCACAUGCUUCUAGGCAGUUUAAAGUUGAUUAGAGGAAUUAUCCGACUUAUGAUUUGGAUUUGCUGGCUGUGAUGUUCGCAUUAAAGAAUAUGGGGUCCAUGCUGACAUUUAUUCAGAUCAUAAGAGCCUGCAAUACGUAUUCACCCAGAAGGAGUUGUAUCUCAUGCAAAGGAGAUGGCUUGAGUUUUUCAAAGACUAUGACAUGAGUAUCUACUAUCACCUAGGUAAGCUAAUGUGGUUGCUGAUGCUUUUAGCAGGUUAUCUAUGGGGAUUUUAUUCCAUGUGGAUUAAUAGAAUCUACACUUGGUGAAAGAUAUUCACCAUUUGGAUAAUCUUGGAGUUCGACUCUUAGAUUCUAAGGGAUUCUAAGGAUGGUGGUGUGUUUGUGCAAGAGGUGACAAGGUCAUUUCUUAGAAUUGAGGUAAAAGAGAAAUAGGUGUUGGAUCCUACCUUGAUGCAAAUCAAGGAUGAUGUAGGUAGGCAUGUGGUGAUGGCUUUUGAGGUUGUUGGUGAUAGUAUCUUGAACUAUCAAUGGAGUGUGAGUGUUCUUGAUGUGGAUGGUCUAUGAGGUAGAAUUUUUGCUGAAGCUCAUGAGUCGCAUUUUUCAGUUAGUCCUGGUUCGACAAAGAUGUAUCAUAACCACAAGGAGAUUUAUUAGUGGAAUAACAUAAUGAAGCGUGUGGCUAAUUUUGUUGCUAAGUGCAUGGAGUGUCAAAAAGUAAAGGUGGAGCACUAAUUAUUCUAUUGGGUCAUCGACGAAAGGAUGACUAAGUCUUCUUACUUCUUGCUGAUGUAUCAGCUUUUGAUGGAGCAUUUUGCAUUUUAUUCUUGGGAAAAUUUCAUGUUUUUAAGCAACCAAUGUUGCAUUUAAUGUUGGGUUUUAGUGUUUCAGGAUAAGGAGCUAGAUGAAGGAAAAAACUCAAUAAAUUAGCAGAAAAAUACUUCUGACUGUCAAAAUGGUGGACAAUCAAUCUUUCGACGGAUCACCAACUUAACCGUCAGGCCCAAACAGAACCCAUGUCUUUAGAAGACUCAACACGACCCAUAUGGUGGACCAUCAGUCUUGCGAUGGACCACCACUUUGGUUUUCACUACUUAGAUGAACCUGCCUUUCCAAGAUCAUUAGUGAUGGACCAUAUGGUGGACCAUCAGUCUUGCGAUGGACCACCACUUUCGCCGUCAGUGUCAAGUAGAACCUGCCUCUCCAGGAUCAUCAACGAUAGCCUAUAUGGUGGACCGUCAGUCUUCGAUGGCCCACCACUUUGGCCGUCAGUGCCAAGCAGAACUGGGCUUUCAAGGACCAUCAGCGACGGCUAAUUUGGUGGACCGUCAGACUUCCGAUGGACCACCACUUUGCCGUCACUUUGGAUGCAGUUUUUGUAAUUUUGAAUUUUAAUUCCUUUUUACCUGGGAACAUAUGAGUACCUAGUUUUAGGUUUUAUUAGGCAUCUUUGAUCCAUCUUUUAUCGUUUAUUAGGGUUUUUCCAUACUUGAAACAUAUUGUACAUAGUUUUCCUGUGAGACUCAUUUGAGAAUUGUGGAUCUAUAUUCCUUUAUCAUAUCUUCUAUUGAAGAUUGAAGUGCAAUAAUUGUGACUGUUGUAAGUAAAUUCUAAAUUAAUUUAUGAAUAUCACAAUGAUUUCUUUUUUUUCUAUGAUGGAGAUGUGUGGCUAAACUCCCAUAACUAGGGUUAUGGGAGCUUUGAUGUGAAUAGUUGAUUGGGAGUUGUGAAUCUAGUAGAUUCCCAUGAUUAAUUGAUAUUACAUAAACCCUUCUUCACUUUAACAAAUUUUCUUGGUUGCAAACCUGAAAAGUGAGUCCAAGAACAACACUUGUUAGAAUAGAAAAAUAUUUGUUGGGAAAAGAAAGGGUUUACAUAAAUCUAAACGCCUUAACCUUUGGAUAGAGGGUAGAUUCCUUAACCGAAUCAAUCCAUGUAAGAAUAUAGUUGAAUAAAUAAUUUUUUCCUUAAGUUUGAAAGAAUUAAGGGAUAAGCUACUUAUUUAGGAUGAGAAACUAAUGGGUAAACCAUAGAAUUCAAUUAAUCUUUCAAUUAGAAUUGUUCAUUGGGAAUUCAAAAUAGUUCACAACCCUAGAUACUUAAGAAUCUUGGUUACCAUAACUCUGUUUGACUACUCUUACUGAAUUACUAUUUUCAAUACAAUCUAUAGGAAGUAGCUCAUACGGGAUGAAGUAUAUUCUAGUUGCUGUUGAUUAUGUAUCAAAAUAGGUUGAAGCCAUUGAUUUGGAUGACAACAAAGGGAAGAGAGUAGUUGCAUUCCUUAAAAGGAUCAUUUUCUCUCGUUUUGGGGUGACACACACCAUUAUAAGUGAUAGUGGAUCUCAUUUUAGCAAUCGUGUGUUUUGAUCUGCCCUAGCAAAGUAUGGUGUCAAGCAACACAAUGUAGAAACUCCAUACCACCCACAGACUAGCGGGCAAGUGGAGACUUCGAAUAGAGAGAUCAAAGCCGUACUUUCUAAAAAAAGUGAAUACUAGUAGACAAGACUGUUCUAUGAAGUUUGAUGAUUCCUUAUGGGCAUACAUAACAACUUUCAAGACACCAAUCAACAUGUCAUCGUACCAGUUGUUUUAUGGCAAGGCAUGUCAUUUUCCAAUUGAAUUGGAGCAUAAGGUGUUGUGGGAACUUAGGAGGCUAAAUUUGAACUAAUAAAAGGCAGCGCAAUUGAGAUUAGGAUAGCUGAAUGAGAUGGAUGAGUUUUGUCUCGGGGUGUAUAAAAGAGAUGAUCUAUACAAGGAGAAGAUGAAGAAGUACCAUGUACGUAGGAUUGAAAAGCGGGAUUUCCAGAAAGGUGACUUGGUGCACCUGUGCAACUCUAGACUUAAAACUUUUUCCAGGUAAGCUCAGGUUCAAAUGUUCUGGCCCAUUUAAAGUAAAUCAAGUCUACUCAUUUGAAGUAGUGGAGCUUGAAAAUGAAGACGGAAGUGUCUUCAAAGUUAAUGGGCAGCGUGUGAAACUGUAUAUCAGUCCAAUGGACUCAAUAAAAAGUAUUGCUAUUAUCUAUCUCGAUGAAGUCUGAGAAAUUAAGAUAACUAAGUUGUGCCUCGAUGAUAAAUCAUGCGCUAGUGGGAGGUAACCAACAGUGUGUUAUUAUAAAGCAUUAGUUAAAUUAUUUUAAUGUUUUAGCGCAUUUUUGAUGUGUUUGUGAAGUGUGUAGGAUAAAAAAUGCAACAAAAAGGAGUGUUACAAUUGGAAAAAGGGGUGAAAAUCUGAGCUCCUGGAACAAAAGUGAUGACCAAUUUUGUGGAACACCAAUCACCUGACGGACCACCAUUUCCACCAUUGCAAAGAUGCUGAAAAAAUCAUUCACUGGAUCAAGUUGAUGGUCAAAAUAGUGGACCAUCACAAAUUUGGUGGACUGCCACAUAGACCGUCAAAAUCAAGUUGGAUGGCCUAUGGUUCUGGUAAGGUGCGACGGCCAACGUGGUGGAUUAUCACAAAUUUGGUAGACCACCAGAUUGACCAUCAAAAUUAAGAUGAAUUUACCAUGUUCUGGUAAGGAGUGACGGCCCAUAUAGUGGUCCAUCGCAUUUCCGAUGGACCGUCGUAGCAUCUAUCGCUAUUACUCUAGUACCAGUCAGGUCGGUUUAAAAUUGAUGUUUAUUUAAGUGAUCCAGACCUGGGCCAAAUGUUUUUAAAGAUAUAAAAGGACAAGUUACAUAUGUUGUAACCUUUUUAACAUCUUCAACUGAUCAAAUCUCUUUGGACUAAAAGAAUUUGAAGACAUUUGCUCUUCCUAGGACUCCACAUCUCCUUCAUUUUUCCCUAUUUAAGCAAACCCACCAUUUUCUUUAUCUUUAUCUUAGACAUUCGUGAAAGUAGUUACUUGAGUUUUAAUUUAAUUCUGUUGUAAGCAAGUGAGAGAGAAGCUACUAAACCAAGGUAUGAGCAUAACCAUGUUCUUCUCUUUUUGAAUUCCAGCAACAUAAAAUGAAUAAUUGGUUUGUUGAUAAAAGUUCAUCUUGUUUUUAUUCUUUUGUUUUAACUUUCUUUGAGUCUGGAACUAUAAUAUAUACUAUGUGGGUGAAGUUUGAGUAACCCAUUUGCUCAAAAGUGGGAAAUUUCAUGCAUUAAUGUGAAGUGUGUGUAAAUUUGUUGCUAAAAAAUGAUGUUGUUCAGCAAAUGCGCGACUAAAUGCCAAAAUAAAAGUCUAAUAUAGAGAAGGGGGUGGGACGAUCAAAAUGGUGGACCACCAGUACUGCGACGGACCACCAUAUAGACUAUUGCAAGGACCCCAGAUAUGACACCCACUGGAUAAGAUAUGAUGUCCAAAAUAAUGGACCAUCAGUCUUACGACGGACCACCAUAUGGACUAUCGCAAUAUUUUGAAAUUUUAGGUCUUCUAGAUAGGACCUAACGGCCCACCUAGUGGACCACCAGUUACCUGACGGACCACCAAUAUGGCCGUCAAGUCAAUAUUUACACUGUUUAGGCUAUUUUUGUGCUGUGAACUAAUUCUUUACAUCUUUUUCAAGCGUUACGGAUCACAAACUCCCAUCAAAUAGAGGAGGAAGAUCUCAAAGGGGUUGAUGCAAAUUUUUACUCGCGUACAACACCAGACAACGUGAAAGAGAAAAUCCUACACUCUCUCAGUCUGAAGAGGAGAGCGAUAGUAGUACAAGAAGUUCUUGCUCAAGCCUAGAUAAGGCCAUGGUUUCUACAAAUCAACCCAAGCAUAUUGAGGGUGAAACUAAGGCUGCUAACAUGGGAGAAAAAAUAGAAGAGAAUGAUGUAGAUACCGAACCUAAGAAUGCUAAUGUUAUCAAGCAUAAGGAUCCACAAGUUUGAGAGGUUAUUAGAUGGCAGAUAGAAGAAGAAAGAGAUAAAUUCUAUGAUGGACUGACACCUACAGCAAGAGGGAUAAAAAGUCCAUUUGUAGAGAAACAUUAGAUUGUCACAACAGGAUUACAUGAAUAUCCUAAGGUGGAAUGCCAUUUCAAUGAGUAUGAACUAGCAUGGAUGAGCAGGCCACCAGGAUUAUAUCAAACGAAUUUAGUAAGAGAAUUUUUUGCCAGUUAUCUUGGAUUAGUAGAGAUAGACUGUCCAAAGGGGUCGUCAAUUACAAAUUUUCCGAAUAGAGAGUCAAUACCCAUUUAAGAAGUCACUAUUGAUAUUUCUGCACAAACAAUCAAUAGGAUGUUGUUCGGGCUAGAGUACGAGGCUCUACCUGCUAUCCCUAAUCUUGAGUAUAGGUUGAGAACUGCAUCUACUCAGAGGCCUUGGGUGGAUUCAUUAUUGACUGAUGAAGGUAACCUCUCGUGGUUGACCAAUCCAUGGGAGUGUAUUGCAAAAUAUUCAAUUAGCUUCAAGACUAAGUUCUAGUGGGCUGUAGUUCGCUUAAGGCUGAUGCCAACAAAAGGUGAUGGAAAUUUGGAUAAACAUAGCGAUGUAUUGGUGGAAAGCUUGGUUUCAGGGCUGCAGGUUGAAUUUGGCUAGAUUAUUAUGGAUGAGAUGUUUGUAAGGGAACAUAGAACCGCCAGUGCAUUGCCAUUCCCAUGCUUAAUCACAGAGGUGUGUAGGCAAGCAGGUAUGCCUCUGAUUCAUGGAGUUGACAACUCAGUCCAGGAUAUACAUAGAUAAGACAUUGAGAAGUCAAAGCUGACUUAAAAUUAGAGAUACGUGUCACCAAGCCUCUAACUUACCAGACUCAAUCUGCACCAACUCCUGAGGCUAUCAAAAUUCCUGCAGGUAUGCCUUUUCCCAUCACCACUUAUGUGCCACCUAAGUAUAUACCUCCAAGUACAUCUGUAGGGUUAGGUUCAGCACCAUGUAUGGGUAGAGCAGACUUUGUUGAAUACAGAUUAACUUAAAAAAACUUUGCAAAAUCAGUAAAAAUGCAAAAGAGGUUUAAAAAAUAGCUAGCUAAAUGGGCAUCAGAAUUCAAGCCUUUUGUUGAUGGAAUUAUAGCUGAGGUAAUACUUCCAUUCCAAACUAUUCAGGUGAGGAUGGACAAUAUGUAACACCGUAUUAACAAAAGGCUAGAUGCACUAUUUCUCCCUGAUCUUGCUAAGAUCAUGGCUGAAUUUAAGCAGAAAAAGGUUGUUAUAGUAGAGUUAAAGGAAAGGCAGCCACAACAACCUAUUUUUGACCCAUCCUUAGUGGUGAGUAAAGAUAAUGAAGAUAUUGUGGAUCUAAUAGAAAGACCUAUGAAAGAUAAAGGAAAGUAGCACAUAGAUGGGCAAGCUACAAGGAAGGAAAAAAAGAGGAGAAAGAGAGCAGCGAUGACCCCAGAGUAACAAAAACAGUAUGAUAUGAGAAGAGCUUGGAAGAAAUCAAGUAGAUAUGAAUAAAAAAGAAAGAAAAAAAAAUAUGAAGCAAUAAGAGUAUCUACUAGUGCUGCCCCAGCAAGGGGGCCAAGUUCAGACACAAUUUGGAAGAUGAUUCCUUCGGUCUUUGGGGGUGAGGUUUUGAGUGCCCCUACAAUCAUAGGGGCCAAUAUUGCACCAGUUUAGGAUGCAAGAGCCUCACCACACUUCACAGAUGCCUCAGAUGAAUAAGAGGUAAUAUAAGUAUACCUAUUUCUUUGUACUUUAAUUUAAUGCUUUAAGGACAAUGCAUAUAUUUUUUAUGUUAGGGUGGUGUACUUAUACCAUGGGGGGAGGGGGUUGUAUUGCCAAUAUUAUAAACCUACCGUGUCCUAUCUAGGAAGAUCGGCAUAUCUAGAAGCAUGUUAAGUUCACAUUUUUCUUUUCUAGGUUUAACUUCAUAUUUGCAUUUUUAUUAUUUUUAAUUCUUGUUAUAUUGUUAAGGUUGGUCCAUGAAAUAAAAGUGUUGUUUGUGUUAGUAUCUUGUAUUGAAUACAGAUGAUGAAUGAUGUGUUAUCAAGCUAUGACUUUUCCAUUUGACUGUUUACUUUUGUCCCUUAGGAUAUGAGAUUAAAUGUUAGCGAAUCUAUAAGUGGCAUUAAUAUAUAAAUAUAUAAGACAUGUGAUACAAAUAUUAAGAAUAGUAGAAUGAGUUUGAAUCAGUUGCCACCGUGUGUGAGAGUAUUUGUAUUAGUUCUUACAUAGUAUAGUACCUAGAACUUGCCUGGUUUGAUUGACGUUGUUUUGUUGUUGAUGAGAUAAAAAGGGAUGGGCGGCCACCUUGUUCUUUCAAUCCACUUAGCAAAAGUAAUUAACCCCAACAAAAAUAAUUUUCCAUUUUCAAACUCCUCUUUGAGCCUUUGUUAAUUUUUCUUCAUCACCAAGCAUGCUAGUUAACUCUCUUUAAACUGUUGACACCUAGCUUUGGCCCUGGACUAAUGGUAGGCAAUGUGUACCUAUACUUAGGCAAAACUCCUAAGUUGAGGGUAGAUAUUAUAGGGCAGUUAACUGUCUAAUGGAAAGUUGUCCUAGAAUUUAAACUAGAGUAUUUAGCCCUAGUCUGUUCAAGAUAAUGUACACCUUGACUUAUUGCAUCAGUGUAAGUUGAGGGUGGCUGAUGCUUGUGUAUGUAAAUAUAUAUCUAUCUAUAUAUCUAUCCAUUUAUAUAAGGGGUUUUAUUAUGGUAAAGCAUGAAUAAAUAAGAAGAGGGUAAGCGAGCUAGAAAAGCAAUGACCUUAGUAAGAAAAAUUUGAAGGAAAAGGGAGUUAAAGCCUAGCACUUAGUCACUUUUUCCCAAAAUUCCUUCCUGGCCUAGCCUAAUACCUCAUUACUAGCCUAGAAAAGACCUGCUUGAUCUUGGAACUCAGCUAUGAGGGGGAAUUUGAUAAUAAAGGCAAGCUUAUGGGUGCAUGCACUAUGUUUGUAACUUAUUUGAUGAGUGAGAGGGUUUUGAUUUAUAUCUACAAAAUAUAUUCAGUGGUGGAUCUCCUAGACUGUGAGGGCAACCUGAGUUAUACUUAACUUGGCUGAUUUCUGUAGAUUCUUGUAUCUAUGUUUGUAUAGAUGGAUUGAAUUUGAAGUAAUGUUGGUUAUAGACUCUAACAUGUUAAACCGUAUGAUUUGAUGAUAAGUGAAUGGUUCGAUGAAAAUUGGUUCAGUAAUAAAUACCCAUCAUUAUAUUGUUCAUAUUUGUAAUUUGGUGCUGAGUUGCUUGAGGACAAGCAGUUAUCUUAAGUUAAGGGUGUUGAUGUUCUGGCUUUUGAGGAACAUUUUGCAUCUUUUUCUUGGGAAAAUUGUAUGUUUUUAAUAAACCAAGGUUGUAUUUAAUGCUGGGUUUUAGUGUUCCAGGAGAAGGAGCUAGCGAAAGGAAAACACUUAAAAAAUUAGCAGAAAAAUACUUCUGACAGUUAAAAUGGUGGACCAUCAGUAUUGCAAUGGACCACCAACUCAACUAUCAGGUCCAAAUAGAACCCAUGUCUAAACUCAGCGACAACCCUUAUGGUGGACCGUCUGUCUUGCAAUGGCCCACAACUUUGGCUGUCACUGCUAAGAAGAACCAGCCUCUCCAAGAUUAGCAGUGAUGGACCAUAUGGUGGACUGCCAGUCUUGUGAUAGACCACCACUUUGGCCGUCAUUGUCAAGAAGAACUUGCCUCUCCAGGAUCAUCAGCAAUGGCCCAUAUAGUGGACUAUCAGUCUUGCGAUGUCAUACCACUUUUGUUGUCAGUGCCAAGAAGAACUAGAUUUGUAAGGGCCAUCAGUGAUGGCAAAUUUAGUGGACCAUCAAACUUUCGAUUGACCACCACUUUGGCCAUCAGUUUGGAUGCAGUUUUUGUAAUUUUGAAACUUAAAUCCUUUUUACCUGGGUAUAAAUACCCAGGUUUAGGUUUUAUUAGGCAUCUUUGAUCUAUCUUUUAUCUUUUAUUAGCGUUUUUCAUACUUGAAACAUAUUGUACGUAGUUUUUCUCUGAGAUUCAUUUGAGAAUUGUGGUUCUAGAUUCCUUUGUCAUAUUUUUUAUUGAAUAUUGAAGAGCAAUAACUGUGCUUUUUGUACGUAAAUUCUAAAUUAAUUUAUGAAUAUCACAAUGAUUUCUUCUCUUUCUAUAAUGGAGAUGUGUGGCUAAGCUCCCAUAACUAGGGUUAUGGGAGCCUUGAUUGGAAUAGCUAAUUGGGGGUUGUGAAUCUAGUAGAUUCCCAUGAUUAAUUGAUAUUGCAUAAACCCUUCUUCAAUUUAAUGACUUUUCUUUGUUGUAAAUUUGAAAAGUGAGCCCAAGAAUAACACUUGUUCGAAUAGAAAAAUGUUUGUUGGGAAAAGAAAGUGUUUACAUAAAUCUAAAGGCCUUAACCAUUGUAUAGAGGGUAGAUGCCUUAACCGGAUCAACUCAUGUGAGAAUAUAGUUGAAUAAAUAAUAUGUUCCUUAAGGUUGGAAGAAUUAAGGGAUAAGCUACUCAUUUAGGUUGAGAAACUAAUGGGUAAACCAUAGAAUUCAAUUAAUCUUGCUAUUAGAAUUGUUCAUUGGGAAUUCAAAAUAGUUCACAAACCUAGGUUCUUAAGCAUUUUGGUAACUGUAACUCUAGUUUGACUACUCUUACUAAAUUACUAUUUACAAUACAAUCUACAGUCUGAUUAAUUUUUUUGACAAGCAUUUGAAUAUAAUUGAUAUAUCAAAACCCCCUUUUGUUCUAGAACCUUUUAUCAACAGUGUAAUAACAACCACAAUCCUUAGUAAACACAGUAUUCCCUAUGGGAUUCGACACCCAACCCCAUUGGGUUUUAUAUUUGACAGUGACAGCUUACACUUUUUGAUGAGAGUUAUAAUUUGGGAAUAUCACUUCCUAGUGAGGACUAAUUAUUUUUCCAAGGACUAUGCAAGGCUAUUUAUUCAGGAGAUCAUAAAGCUUUAUCGUGCUUCGGUUUUAUCAUUUCAGAUUAUGAUAUUUAGUUUGUAUCUCAUUUUUGAUGGUCGUUCUAGCAAAUUUUUUGGACUAAGGUGAACCUUAGAACAACUUUCCAACAAUAGAAGGAUGGACAAUUAGAAAGGACCAUUAAUACUUUGGAAGAUAUGCUUUGGUCUUUUGUAAUUGACUUUGAUGGUCGAUGGGUUGAUCCUUUUCCUUUAUAGAGUUUAUGUACAAUAAUAGCUAUCACUUUAGCAUUAAUAUGGAUCUGUUUAAGGCAUUGUAUAGUAGGACGUGUAGAUCUCCUAUUAGGUGGUUUGAAGUUGGUGAGGAAAAGUUAUUCGGUCCUAAUUUAGUUCAUCAAGAUAUGGAGAAGGUAAAUGUGAUGUGGGAUAGGCUAAAGACUGCCUAAAGUCACCAAAAGUACUAUGCAGAUGUGAGGUAGAAGUUUGAUGUGGGUGAUGGGUAAUCAUGAAGUUGUCUCCCGUGAAGGGAGUGAUGCAAUUUGGAAAGAAGGGGAGGCUCAGUCCCUAUUAUAUUGGCCCUUAUUGAUUUUGAAGAGAGUGGGGAAUGUUUUCUUUGCACUAGAAUUUCCUGUAAUUUUGUGUUCUAUUCGCCUUAUUUUUUAUGUGUCUAUGUUGAAGAAGUACGUAGGUGAUCCUUCCUUAGUGGUGCCUAUUGAGAGUGUAGGUAUUUUAAAUUCUCUGUCAUACGAGAAGGCCCAGAUGGAGAUCUUGGAUAGACAAGUUCAUAGGUUGAGGACUAAAUAUGUAGCUUUAGUAAAGGUCUUUUGGAAGAACCAUAAUGGGGAAGAAGCCACUUGGGAAGUGGAGGAAGUUAAGAAAGCUAAGUACCCAUUCUACCCUCAAAAUUUUGGGCAUUUAUUUUUGGACAUCCCGUGUUUGAAGUGCCUAUUUUUGACAUAAAUUAUGUUUAGGCAUAUGAAUGGGGUAUCCCAGGAGAGUUUUAGAAUUUUUGGAUGGGGUUUGGGGUGGUUUUGACCUUGGAGGUAGUGAGCCUCUGUGAUAUCCCUGUGUCACAGAGGCUACACUCCGCGAUAACCAGUGUGACAUGGAGGGUAGUCUCCUUGUUUAGCAAUGUACAUAGAUGUUAGCCUUCGCGAUAAGUUUUAUGCCACGCCACUAUGUAAAUGUCAUGAUAUUUUUGUUUUAUUUAAAUGGGAUGAGGGGGUAUUGGGGUCUUUUCAACUAUGAAUGACUUUUAAAUAUUAUACGAACCUAUUUUUAUCAAUUUUCAUGACACAAAAGCUAUUAUUUCACUCUAAAAUGCAAAACCCCAAGAUAGUAUAAGGGUUUCAUCAUAGGUUCAUCUUUCAGAUUUCAAGCUACGAAUUACUUUCCAAUUCUCGUAUGUCUAAGGCAUGCACCUCUUUCCAAAAAAAAA